GAUGAACGCUGGCGGCGUGCUUAACACAUGCAAGUCGAACGAAGCACUUUAUUUGAUUUCCUUCGGGACUGAUUAUUUUGUGACUGAGUGGCGGACGGGUGAGUAACGCGUGGGUAACCUGCCUUGUACAGGGGGAUAACAGUUGGAAACGGCUGCUAAUACCGCAUAAGCGCACAGCAUCGCAUGAUGCAGUGUGAAAAACUCCGGUGGUAUAAGAUGGACCCGCGUUGGAUUAGCUAGUUGGUGAGGUAACGGCCCACCAAGGCAACGAUCCAUAGCCGACCUGAGAGGGUGACCGGCCACAUUGGGACUGAGACACGGCCCAAACUCCUACGGAAGGCAGCAGUGGGGAAUAUUGCACAAUGGGCGAAAGCCUGAUGCAGCGACGCCGCGUGAGCGAAGAAGUAUUUCGGUAUGUAAAGCUCUAUCAGCAGGGAAGAUAAUGACGGUACCUGACUAAGAAGCACCGGCUAAAUACGUGCCAGCAGCCGCGGUAAUACGUAUGGUGCAAGCGUUAUCCGGAUUUACUGGGUGU
rnacentral:rRNA from 1 species